rnacentral:lncRNA from 10 species
UCCUAAUAAAAAAAUCCAAAACUGGAGAAAACGGGUAGCUUCUUAACAAGACAUUCAUUAACAAGAGAAGACAUUUCCAUCCCUAUAACUAUAGAUAACUCCAAAUAUCCAGGUUAAAUUAACCACAACUUGGGCUUGCUUCCUCUUCCUUAGGGCAAAAAGCUGCUUCAAGUUUUAUUCUUCUUAUAAUACUUUUAAUUUUCUUGAGAGGUUAAGCAAAAUACCGUAUAGCUAAGAAUAUAUUAGUAAAACAGCUACACGGUAGUUCAGACAGAGAUGACCCUCAACGCUACAAGAAUGUAAUAACAUCCACAACUACUUUCAAAGUCCAGUUUAACAUCCAAGGGAGGAUGACAGGUCUUCCUUACUCAGACCCUGUCGGUCUAAGAGGCAGCAUUUUCCUACCUUAGCUGCUUUGCAAGUGCCUAAUUCCUUCGCUAUGGCCGUGGAGAACAGUCUCAAUGCCGUUCUCGAAGACUCACGUUUAUCUUUGCACCAAUUACUUAACGACCUAGGUUGUCCGAGGAAGAAAGGAAGUGCCCAGAGAAACUGGAGCUUAGGACUGCGCUGUCUUGACAACCUCACGGUCCCUCCUCCAGCCGCCCCCGGAGCACCGCGGGGCCACAGCCCCAGACGCCACGGUACCGGCUCCAGGACGUAAACACUGCCCUUCUCUUCCCUGCCCGCCCGCAACUUCCUUCUCCCGACCACGGCUUUGCGGGAGCCCACUGGAAAAGGGAGGAUACCACAUACCCUCGGAAGUGAGGCGGGAGAAGGGCUUAAGCAGCUCCGCGAAGCUGAGGUGAUUGAGACGAGUGAGCCGCUCGGCUUCGUCGCUGCACAGCGCAGCGACACAGGGGACGAAGGAGUCCGGGAUUAGCUCCUGCACUGAUUGUACACACUGGGCCAUCGCCGCAGCACAGGCAGCGGCGGCGCCCGCCCUCCGGCCCACCCUGCGAGGUUAUCCUGCGGCUGCAGCAGCUACCGCCGCCGCCCGCCGGCCUGGCCCGGCCGGGCGGGGCCCCGAACGCACUGGAGCCUAGAAACAAGAAGGAACAGACGCCGCCGCUUCGGUUUCUGGGGCACAAUCCACUGACCCCCCCCUUCCCGUCACCGCCGCUUCUCAGCGCUCGUCCCCGCGUGCUCGCAUUCCACCCCGAUAGGUGGAGACGCCGACAGUCACCACUUAGUCCUUCGGACGGCAAAACCUUGGUCACUGCCCGGCCGGAACCGCCAUGUUGAGGCCGAACCCUGACCAACCGGCAGUACUACUCCCAGCUGCCCCCGCGCGCGUCCCUCACGUGACUGUGUUAAAGGAGACGGUAGGGGCAAGGGAAGAGAGCUGAGGAGAGGGAAGUGAAAAACGACGGAGGCCGGUUGGGAGGCUGGAGCCGGAAGUGUUGUGACGGAAGCUCCCUGGGCGGGGCGGGGCUACAAGUGCGGUGGGCGGGGGCGGGGGCGGGGGCGGGGGCGGGGGGAGGUGCACAACUGUAGGCCGGGUUCUCAAGCUCGCCCUUAGCAGAGCAGAGCUGAGAGCCACCUACUAGCGGCAGGUGGAGCCUCGAGACGGGUGCUGUCGUGGUGAUGGAGGCGCACGCUCGCUUCCCACGCAGUUUGGCCUUUUUGACGUCCCUGGCUGUUGUGGGCAACCGAUUUGGUUGGUCGCGCUGCUUCCUACGCUCGCCGGCGGAGCAGCUAGUGGCACCUGCUCGGAGAGAGGGAGUGGAUCUCUCGGAAGUGCUUGGGGUUUCGCUGAAGCGGACCUGAACAGACCAUGUGUCCUUUAAAUACAGCCAUGCUUUUAGAAACGGACUGUCACUUUAUGUGGACUCAACCAUUGAACAGAAUGUGUGCUUUUGUGAGUGCUGCAAUUCCUUCAAGUGUAAUUGCGCUACUGCAUUUUUGUUGGUCGCAGGGAAGGGGUGUGCCUGCAAAUGUCCGCGUGGUUCGUCCUCAGCCUCUUCCUUUUUACACUGUGCUAGGAUGUUUACUUGCUUGUGGUGGAGGUAGGGGAAGCCAGUAUUUGUGUACUGUGUACUGUCCUGAACCGGCUUUCAUUCCUAACUUUUCAAAGAUUGCUUUAAAGGGGGGGGGGCGCGGGUCAAAUAUUGUUUUAAAGGGGGGGACGGGGUGAGGUCAAUGGUGUGUGCCUUGUAAGUAGAAAUGAAUGAAAGGAAUUUUACUAAUGUGUCACUCAAUUGUUUGAGCUCCUUCUGUUUUGCAUGCCAAAAAUAUAAGGCAAGGAAAAAUGUAUCAUUCUAUCAUGAUUUUAUGGUGCUCUAAUUAAAGGUGUCUUCCCCAACGUCAAUGUCUCAAAUUUUUCGACUUCUUGACACCCUCAGGUUUUCACUAAGGUAAUAAUUUAUGACAAGUAAGAUGUGUGCUUCUCAUGUAAGUUGAUAAAUGGGAG